rnacentral:antisense_RNA from 1 species
AGCAUCACUGCCUUUCCCACUAUUCUCCUGCAGAAGAGCAGGGGAAGGAAGCACCAGGGUCCAUCAUGGAGUUGUGACAACUGAGAUUCAGAGAUGUCCAAUCUACUCACAUAAAUAGCCUGGUUGAAGAUGGCUGAGCGUAAAACAGAAUGCAAGUCAGCUGGAGCACGUACUACUGGAGGCAGAGCCCCAUAAGAAGGGGCCAAGAACCCGCACCCACCAAAAUCAAGAAGAAAGGCUGAACCCGGAGAGAAAAGGGAGCAACUGAUGUUGCCAUGCAGAUCCCUUGGUUGCUAUGAGAUGGUAACAUCACUCUGCCCCACCAUUGGCCAGUGCCUCCUCAGCUGCGGUGCCUCCCAGGCUGUGUGGUUCUCACGCGGGCCACUGACACAGAGCUGUUACUAUGGUGAACUUUACAAUUUCCUUUGAUUGGUGGAUUUCAGAAAUAGGCCAUCAGCGGAAUUCAUUAUAUUCAGCUAAGUAAAAAUGAAAAAUAAA